GUCGACAAUACUUCAAAGAAUCAUUUCUAUAGGUUUUGUCCCAUCUUCUAUGUUUCCCAACAUAGCUACAGAUCCCACCCAGGUUGAUGACUACAAAUCCUCGACUGCCCUAGAGUGAAACACCAUUUUUUACUCUCGUCCUGCCUGCAAAGGUGGCGGCUUGCCCUCUCCGGAGGCUGGCUGUAUAGAGAGUGGUGAUGAUCUCUACCCCGAUCUUCCAAGGGUCUUGCCUUCGGGCGCUUUGGCGGGGUGGCUUUCGAUGGACGUCUGACUGGC
rnacentral:snoRNA from 1 species